rnacentral:lncRNA from 1 species
GCCAAGCUGGCGCAGGCCCAAGGGUAUCGACUCCCGUGUCAGGCGGAAGUUCAAGGGAUGCACCUUGAUGCCCAACAUUGGAUAUGGCUCUGACAAGAAGACCAGGCACUACCUGCCCAACAAGUUCAAGAAGUUUGUGGUGCACAAUGUCUCUGAGCUAGAGCUGCUUAUGAUGCACAACAGGUAUGCAAUUUUUUUCAGUCUUCAGCAAACGUGUCGAGAGUACAGCAGUUUCCCAGUUUCAGUGCACCCUUUUUAUCACGAUCAUCAAUUAUUUGCUAAUAUUUGUUUCGCUACACGAACAGGACAUACUGUGCUGAAAUCGCACACAACGUGUCCACAAAGAAGCGCAAGGAGAUUGUGGAGCGGGCUGCUCAGCUUGACAUUGUCGUCACCAACAAGCUUGCCCGUCUUCGCAGUCAGGAGGAUGAGUAAACUGUUUCGGGUAGUAGUUUUGGAGUGGCUCGGCUGUAGGAGACUUUCUGUGCAUCAUGAAUCAGUUAUCCUUUCUGUUUGCUUCGUGUUUUGAGUAUCGUGAACCCACUUGCUAUCAGUGGCGACUUAACUGUGGCAAUGUUAUGAUUAUCACCUACCAUAUGAAUACAGCAGUUUUGAUAUCAAUUAUUGUUGGAUUGUUCAUGUCUAUUUAUUCUGUUGGCGCCCAGCUGCCAGGGACCGCAGCCUGUUUUUGCGUCUGCUAAAUUUUGCUGCCAAUGAUGCUCAGGUUCCUACUGCAUCUUGCAUCGUGCAAACUGGAAAUCGGUGUCUGAGAAAUCUAGUUGAUUCUGGACAUAUGUUUGUGUUUUGGCAAGUAGAAUAUGAACCUGUAUGCUACUUGAUCUGAGACUGAGCUUUGCUGCUGAAAUAUUAGAACCGACGCCUAUGUUGCUGUACGUGGACCGGAGAAGCCCACGUCAGAGCAACACAACAAAAGCCGAUGGCGAGCCGACGACGGCCUGCAAUCCCCUCCUCACUCAACGGAGGAUCGCAAUAUCUUACGGCCCACCUUAGAAUCAGUCGCGGAUCACGCGAAGGAAGGGCCGCCUAGGGUGGAAGCGGCCCAGAAGGUCCGAGCCCACCACACCUAGGGUUCUCUCGGAGCAAUAAGACCCUCUCCUCUCCUCACACCCGCCGCCCGCCGCCGCUCUCGCUCGCACCGUCGCAUCUCCGCAGGGUUCGCAAAGGUACCUCCUCCAACCUCGUCUCGUCGUGGCACCGACCACGGCGCUCUCGAAUCCUUCGCUCUCGUGCCGGAUUCGUGGCUGCAGUUACCCAGCUGGUGUCUAAUUGCCCGUGUGACCUCGUGCUCCUGCAGAUGGCGGUGCCGCUGCUGACGCAGAAGAUCGUGAAGAAGCGGGUCAAGCAAUUCAAGAGGCCCCACCUCGACCGCUACAAGUGCCUCAAGGUACACGCUGCGCCCAUUCCCUUGUUGCGCGAAGCGCUUGAUCACCGAGCAUCUGCUGCACCCUUCGUUAAUCCACUGGCCGCCUUCGAACUAGCUUGCUUUAGGUUCACCACUGGAAGAGUGGUCAUGUUGUUCACGUUGUUUAGAAGUGUAUAUUCUAAUUUGAAUUGCUUGGCCAGAUUUUUGUAUGGAAGUUGCUAGUACCAGACUACCAGUUCGUUAGCUUGCGUUACAGUUACAAUCUUUCACUAGCAAUCUAAAUUGUAAACUUGGUUUUUGAAGCAGUGUAUUACCAUGGAAGCUUUCCUCAUUUUAGGAGCCCUCCUUUGGUUAAUGCAAUCUAGAAGUUGUUAACAGAGACCAGGUCCCUUUGUUUGUGUAAGUUUAUUAGCUUACACUGAUGUAAUGCCAUGUUUCUGUACCUUAGCAUAACUUAAAACUAUACUGUACCAGUGUAGCAAAUGCCCAUUACUUCAGACAACGUUUACCACUUGGUGAACCCAAAAUAUGCUAUACUGUGCCUGAAACCUGCUAGUUUUAUUUUCAUUUUUCUGAGCAGUAACGGCUCUAGCGCCAAGCAUGGGUAAGAUAUCCUGUAAAAAGAUGUACAAAUUUCCGGUUCAUUGAGUCUCUACAUUUGCGUCACCUAGCAUAGCCAUUGCUUUUGGUUUAGUUGAAAGAGCUAAUUUUUCCCAUACUGUUUUCUGUAGCCAAGCUGGCGCAGGCCCAAGGGUAUUGACUCCCGCGUCAGGCGGAAGUUCAAGGGAUGCACCUUGAUGCCCAACAUCGGAUACGGCUCGGACAAGAAGACCAGGCACUACCUCCCCAACAAGUUCAAGAAGUUUGUUGUUCACAAUGUCUCUGAGCUGGAGCUGCUUAUGAUGCACAACAGGUAAUCUUUUUUCUGUGUACCUAUUGAAAGUUCUUUGAUGGUGCCACACAUCCUGCGAUUUUACUUCAUAAUCAUACCAGAAAGCUAAGCUACAACAUAGCUUACCUCCGGAACAGAAUGGCAGUGUUCCCUCCUAGUAGGGUGGGUAGUCUAGCAGAUAUGGCACAGUUCCCGUCAUAAUAGCAAUGUGCCAGUGAGAAUGCCAUUCCAGUUACCCUAAUAUAUAUGUCUCCGACUUUAUGUGACCCAUGAAUAUUACUCCUCAAAUCUUCUGUUCAUAUGCUUUACUUCUGUUUGAUCUUUCAAAUGCUCUCUUUGCUUACAUCCUUUUCUCCCUGCAAAACAGGACCUACUGCGCUGAGAUUGCACACAACGUCUCCACCCGCAAGCGUAAGGAGAUUGUUGAGCGCGCCGCGCAGCUGGACAUUGUGGUCACCAACAGGCUGGCCAGGAUCCGCAGCCAGGAGGAUGAGUGAAAUGUUCAGUAGCUGCAGUUGCGUUGUUCGUAGAACAGUACUGAGAUUGGAGAUACUUUUCCACCAUUUUUAUGCUCGUGUUAGACUUG